rnacentral:rRNA from 1 species
AGAACGAACGCUGGCGGCGUGGAUAAGACAUGCAAGUCGAACGGGAGUUUGCUGGUAGCAAUAUUAGUGAACUCUAGUGGCGAAAGGGUGCGUAACACGUAGCUACCUACCUCGAAGUUGGGGAUAGCUCGGCGAAAGCCGGAUUAAUACCGAAUGUGACUGUAAAGUCAAAGCUGGGGAUCGUAAGACCUGGCGCUUUGAGAUGGGGCUGCGGCCUAUCAGGUUGUUGGCGGGGUAAUGGCCCACCAAGACGUGAUCUGUA